GGGGGGGGCGGUUUGAGGGUGGCAGGAGUUUUAUCCACGCAAACGAAAAUCGGAAACUGCCCGCGGUUUCCAUGCGGAUGUAAAGCAGGUGACCCCUUCGGGUUUGCCCUUCCUUCCCAGACGCUUCCUACCCCCGGAGUCAGUGCUGGCAUCACCUACCGCUGUGGGUGACCUGCGCUCCAGCGAGAGUUCCCCCCAGAGGUGCGGGUGCAGCGGUGACCGCCUGGACUUCUCCCGGAAUCCCAGCACUGGGAUGCUCUCACCGCCCUGGUCCUGUCAGGUCUUUAUGUCCUUGCGGACUCAUGCAAGUCACAGUCUGGACAGAGUCAGGCGAGCAAGAUCAGGAAAGGCUGAUAUGUUUUAAAUAUACCAUAUUUCAAAGAUGCCGUAUUUGAUUUUAGUGACAACCCUAUAUAUACACAUAUGUCGCACAUACACAUAGACAUACACAUUUUUCAGAUACAUACACAUAUACACUUAUAUAUAUACACAUUCAUAAAAUAUUCUUAUAUACAUAUCCUAUAAAAUUAAUAUGUUUUAAAUAUUUAUUUCAUUUAUUUCAUGAGAAAGAGUAUCACUCUGGAAUAUUCAAUACCUGGGGCUCAAACUUGGGACUUCAUAAUUGUAAGUUCAGAAUUCUGCCACUGUAAGACCUCCUGGACCAAAUAUACACAGAUUUUAAAACUUUAAAAAAAAUUUACUUAUUUAAAAGAAAGCAAAAGAAUGAGAACCAAAACAUCAUCCUGGCACCUGUGGUGUGGAGUAAAUCUAACUCCACACAUCAAGCAGGAGAUACAAGCCUAUAUCUGAGUCAAAAUUCAGAGCCUGGUUUUUGAGUCUUACCAAUAAAUCAAAUAAUGAAGUAAAUGAAAUAAACCAAACUUGCCAGUGGCACAUUUUUCAGUCCUUUAAGUCACAUCAUCCUCCCAUGUACCAUGCCUCUUGUUAUUCAACCUGUCACCUGCCACUUUGUGAAGACAAGAUGCCACACUUCGUUUACUGGUCAAUUCGCAUACCACCAAAUGCUUCCUGACAUUCAAAAUACAUACCAAAAUGUGCUCUUUAUUUCUAUGAGGUCUAUACUUUGCACCUAUUGAAAAGACAACUUUGCUGAAAUUGAAAGCUAAAUCAUAACCUCCAACCCAAGGUAUCUACCAGGUGAAUGGAGAAAGCAAUAAACUGCUUCCAUAGAUACCUAUGAAGACUUUAAAAAAUUCCUUUUGUAUUUUACUGUUUCUGUUCUUCAGUUACAAAACAGAUGAUACUGACAUAAAUAUGUGUGAUCUACUCUAUGAGUGAAGAUUGUAAUUUUUUUAAAUGGAUAACACAUGUUAAUAAGUGUUCUGACCUCUAGGGAAAGACCAGGUAAAUAUAAGCUUUUGCUAGGUCUAGGGUUUUUGGGGUGGGGAUAGUUUCAAAAUUUUCCUGGAAUUUUGGAUAAGGUUUCUGUGCCAAGUAACUGUUUGUUCUCUAGCAAACAUUGAGAGCAAUUGGAGUAGAGUCCAGGAAAAUACUGUAUAGAACUAAGGUGACAGAAACUAAGUCCAACUAGACUUCAUUUGGAUGAGAUCAGGGUUUAGCAUCAAAAUUUAAAAAUAAAUGAUAGGCUAUGGUCUGGAGGGGGUCUGUAUUAUGUUUCUUAGAUACCUAGUUGUGUUUACAUUUUUUGCAAAUAAUUAGAAAGUAGUUGGAUUCAUUCUUAAUCAAGUCUCAUAAGAAAGGGA